UCGGCUCCUCCCACCAUCCCUCCACCUUCCUCUACUGGCGCCUCUAGGGGCUCCUGCCUCCGAAGCUAGGGGCCGCUCCGCCGCCCCGGCAAUCCACCACCUCGCAGCACGACGCAAGCGGCUCCCCCAUGCCCGACGACCUCCCACCGCCACGCCACCUCCCUCCCCUGCGCUGCCACCGCGCCAUCCCUGCACUGGGUCGCCGCCCCCGCCAAGCCACCUACAUCCGCCGGCCACGCCCCGUCAAGCAACAGCCGGAUCCGACGAGAACCGGCUCUACCUCCCUGUCUCCCCCUCCUCAAAACCUGUGCCGCACCUCUCCGGGCCACCGCCGCCGGAUUCAUGACGGGGCGCCGCCUUGCAACCCCGCCUCGGCCUCCCACUACCACCACCUUCACCUUCUCCUCCCGGCCGCCGCUGGCGCUCAGGGCUGCCUCCCAGCCCAACCACCAAUGGAUCCGACGGGAUCCUCAUCGUCAACCACCCAGUACCCCACAACCACCCAGAUCUACGCCACCAUGGCUGCAUGCCUUCUCCUUCUCCCCUCAACCCCCCUCCCCGGGUGAGCCCACUAGCCUUCGGAGCCCCGCCAGGCGCCGGAUCCCGACAGCUACUCCCGAGUCCACACACCCCCUCUACUUCAGUGGCCGCAUGAGAUAGAAUUUGGUCACCGGGGACGGGAUUCGCCUGCUGUGGAUGAGAUUCAGCGGAGGCAUCGCUCCCGCAUCCAUAGAAAAGCCAACGAGACGGGUCAAUGGGAUUCACCGCCGGCCCCGUGUGGGACGACGACCAUGGCCCUAGGAUGAUGACGCCGAAAAUGUGGCGUGCAGCUCACUGCGGCCCACUGUGAAGCUCACCUCGGCUCAGCCUGCAGUUCGCGGCCGCCACGACAGGCCCCGUUGUUGUUCUCCUCGGCGUACAGCGGCGGCGCCCGCAACAUCUCCCCUUCGACAAACGGCGUUUUGGUUGCAGUCCCACGGGCAUAUAGGUGCAGUACUGUGGGGAUUGGACAUGCAGUGCGCAAGCAGGAAAAAAAUGUGGAUUUAUUUUUUAAGUUCCCUGUCAUUGUAAUUUUUAUGUGUUUGUAAGUGCAGCUCACUUGUUUCGUCGCUGAAGUGAUCUUCUCUCUCACAACAGUUCCCUUUGUUGCCAAGUGUAAAAAAAAUUGGAACAUUAUAACUGGAAAAGGUUGAAUCUUCUAUGGAGCUCAUUUUGCUGUUGUGUGGAAGAAAAAUUGAUGCAGUCCACUCGCCUCAUCCCGGCGGUUUAGUUUUGUUUUGUUUUGUUUUGCAGCAGCUCACUUUUUGUUUUCAGCUCACUCUUUUUUUUUGUAGCUCACUCUUUUUUUCUUCAGGAAAUCAUUUGCAAUGCACUCAGUAAGAAUGAGAAGAGAACAUCGAUGUUCAUCUUGAAGUUUGAUUUGUUAUUUAUGGGAAACACAGAGAGAAAAGGGUAGUAAGAAUGGAUGGUCAUUUUGUAUAAGCAAGUCUUUCCCGAGUGCAGAUCUGUUGGGUACUGCAUCGUUGAUUCCACUGUGUACUAGAUGGUUGUGUGACUGUAAAAAAUAAUGAAUGAAUACGUAUGCUUUUAA